UAUGGGAUAUAAAUAUAUGUAUGUGAAACAUUUGUUUCUCUAUGUUUACUCACUUAUUAAUUAUAUCAAUAUGCAGACCCAUAUGAAUACAACACCUCAAUCUUCUUACCCCCUAACAUUAUAAUAAUAAUACUAAUUCAUGCCUAACAAUUACACCUCCAACCCAUUUUCAAUUUUAACAUAUCAUUACUCAGUGGUCAACAAUGUUUGU
rnacentral:lncRNA from 1 species